GCAAUACUCUGGUAUUUUGGCAUCCUUUAUUUGUAUAUAUACGUGUGUGUAUAUAUACAAAUAAAGGAUGUGUGUGUGUGUCUGUGUGUAUAUAUAUAUAUAUAUAUAUAUAUAUAUAUAUAUAUAUAUACAAAUAAAGGAUGCCAAAAUACCAGAGUAUUGC